UUCCUUUGUGUUGCCCGUUCACUUUUGGAAACUAGUGAAUGUGGUGUCAAGAAAGGUGUAAACUAAAUACUUUGCAGCCCUUUCCUGCCCUUGAAUAUGUCUUUGGUGUAGGAGCUACAUAAGUAACAGUG